GCCGCUCCCCCCGCUCCGCACCCGCGGAGCCCCCGCGCACCUGGGGGAGCGCCGGCACCGCGCUGCUUUCCCCGGGGAGGGAGAACCGAGCGUCCGUUUCGCCGCACCCCCGGAUGAAAUACUACACAGUCACUGAAGCAGAGAGAAGACAUCUUCCUUCACCCUGACAUACUGAGGCACGAAGAACGAUGCUGAAAGCCAAGGUUUCUGAUUUGACCCUCCUCCUUAGAGCUUCUGAACGUGAAGAUUCCCGACUCACAGAAGCUGUCUGCUCGUGGCAGGCAAAAUUAUCAUUCCUUGCACUCACAGCUGAGGGUUUUGACGGGGUUGGUGACCAGCUCUAGCACAGCACAGCUCCUUCUCAUUUUCCUUCUACCUCUCCUUCUCCCUCAUCGCCAGCUUGAAACCGGGAAUGGGUGAGACUUCUGCUUCCCUCCUAAUGAGGUUUUCUGUGACUCUCUCAUGUCCUGCUGCUGCAGCCAACGUGGGUCCAAAUGCCGUGGCUACAAAGGCUUGUUACUGUCUCAUGCUGGGUCCCUCAAAUCCAAGAGCUACUUGGCAGUUUCCAAGGCAACCACCUGUGGAAUAAUUAAAAAGGAUGAAGUGCUAUCGUGCCAGAUAUAAGGGAUUCCUGCCUGGAGAGAGCGUUUCACUUUCAUCUGUCUUGAAGAAUCAAACGUGCUUCUGCCAGCAAAGUUAAGAAAAAGAAGCGGUGGCUGAGUUGCACAAGUGAACCAGGAUGACACAAAAUGUGCUGAUCUCAUGAGGGUAUCUUGCAUAUGCCAGAGGAAGAACACGUUGUGUGAGGGAAAAACCUGCUUACAAAUCUGUGCAAAUUGAAAGAGAAUCAUAGAAUCACAGAAUGGUUUGGGCUGGAAGGGACCUUCAAGACCAUCUUGCUCCAACCCUCUGCCGUGUGAUGGGACACCUUCCACGAUCCCAGGUUGCUCGAUGCCCCAUCCAGCUUCUUUGCUUCUUCAGCAUAACAAGGAAAGGUUCUAAAGUGUUUUGUUUCACUCUGAAAAUAUUUCUGGCUUGGGUUUCGGGUUUUUUUUGCAGUGUCAUAUGGGAUGGGAGGAGUACGGACUAUCUGUCUUUGACUGAAAGGUCCUCUGCAGUGUGUUUGUGAGGCGUGGGAAUUGAGCUGGGGUUAAAACUUGAAGUGGUCUGAUUGAACUUCCUAUCUUUCUUAAUUGUUAUCGUCUUUCUGUGUGAUAAUUUUAACUUCACUUCCUCUUGGGUAAUUGUGAAGAAGUCCGUGUUAUAUCCGGCAAAGAAAACACAGACUAAUAAAUGUUUUUGUGCGUUUAUCGUUAUUUUUUAAAGAUACUUAAGAGCAGUUCUUUUCAGGCUACUUUUCAUGCUUUGACAGACGAAGUGCCAUGAUGAUGUGUGAAGCAGCACAAAUUAAUCCAGUGUGGAGAUAAGCAGAGCAGCAGUGGCAUGAGCCGGUGCCUGGUUUUGAGAGCUCACUUUGUAGGGACAGAAGUGGCUGUGAUCCAGCUCAUGGCACGAGGAUACAAACAGCAGGUGUAGCUUUGGAGUGCUUGAUGACGAGGGCAUUUCUGCUCAGGGGUGGGAUUAGAGCUGCUAUUGAAACUUGUAUAACAGCCAUGGUGCCAGGGUGGUUGCUAAAAAUGAUGCUCAUCUCUCUUAUGUCCCAAAAGCUGUAAGUCAGAAGAACUAUUUUAAGCUGAGGAAAUAUUUUGGGUUUUAUUCUUAAUGGUCAUUGGUUUUUUUCCCAGACCCCAAUGAGAUGAUUUUAAAUGUGUAAGGCAGCAGUGGGAAUGAAAAUAAGUGUUUUUAUAAUGUAAGACAUGGACAAUCAAUAGUGAGUUUUGUUGUGGGUGGCUGCUUCAUUAUCAUACCCUCAUUAACGUACCUCAGCAAUCAACAGGAAUCACAUUUUUUUAUUACAGCUGUUCUGUCCAGUUCCUAAAAGAAAGCAUCAGCUGCUUUUUUCCAGCAAAUGGUGGUGCAUUUGGGAAAAAAACCCCACUAUUUUCCUGCCUCUGCUGCCCCAAAGGUUGGUGUUUUGCAGAAGGAGCAGUCAGCUGCUAUGGUGAUGGGCGCAGGGUGGAAAUGUGGACAGAAAUAGAGGGAGGCUGAAGCCAGACUGUUCCUGCUUCCUUAUGGUCUCAGUAGCCCUCUCCGAAUUGGAUAGUAACUGAUUCCAAGGAUUUCGCAGGUUAUUUGUGGUUUUCUGCCUCAGAUUCUCACAAUUAGCACAAAAUAAUACUCGGGCAAAAAGGAGAGUGAGAUUCUCAAAUGGAUAAUGUUUGUACAGGAUGCAUGUAAUUCCCUGCAGAGCAGCUUGUGCCCGUUGUGCUGGGAUUUGGAUGCUCAGAAAUCUCCCUCCUCCCAUCCAGACUGAAGUCAGUUUUUGGAUUUCCUUCCCUGCUAAUCCCCAAAAUCAGCCUGAAGAGAUUUCAAAACAGAGUUCAGAGUAAAUCUGAGACAACUUUUACGUCAAGGAUGUUGUUCUGUGCAGCAGGUGAUUCUCUGGCACCUGCUAUUUAUGGAUUCUGCCUCCACAAAGAAUUAUUUCCCUGUGGCACCAUUGCCACAGUCAGUGCAGAAGUGGACUGCAGCUUGAGGCAUUUUACCAGGUUUGGAUAUACCUUAGGAUACAUCUCAUAAGGUGUGCUUACACGUACACUUUGUUAUGAAACAAAGACAGCAGGGUUUUUUUGGUGAAUUUCAGAGCUCUAAUCCAAAAUUACUCUUUCCAUAGGGACCAUGAUGCCUGGACUUCAUGAUGGACUUAGACACUAAAGUGGCACACCUCGAUUGCCUGUUCUGACUGUAAAUGCCAUCACACAAGUACAGAUUGUGAGGAGUCAUAACAUGGUUAAAAGUGUAAAACCUGGAGAAAGAGAAAAUUUAGUCUCAAGUUGUGUUUUAAUUCAUCUCUUUGCAGAACAACACAGAGGGGACUAAUUCAAACAGCUUCUGGUGUUUUUUUCUUCCAGAUUCUGAGGACAAACCUGUCAGUAAUGAAUUGUUCCACGGAUAAAGCUGUAAAUGGUGGAGACUGUUUUUUCUCAGGAAUUCUGCAGGAAUUCAUCAGUGGAAGAGAAAGGGCUCCCUGUUCAGCGAGGAAAUUACCCUCAGCUCUUCCGAUCUUUAAAUCUGGGAAGGAUGGAGCAGUCCAAGAUUUGAAAAUGUUUUAAAACUUCGAGCACCUAAUUAGAAGGAGGCAUCUUGGAGCAGCACAAUAGCUCUCUAUCUGCAGUUCAUUUGGUUUUCCAAUUUAGAAAUGACAGUUUACAGCCCUGGUGCGAGCGUGUUUCUCAUUAGCCUGUUCUAGAAACACACAGAGUUAUUACAAGUUUUGAAAGAUGCUUUCUUCAAAAGUGCAAAUGAUAUUAAAUGGCAGAAUUUGCUCUCUGGAUAGCCAGAUGGAGAUGCUGUGGUCUACAGCCGUCCUGAGGCUGGUGGUAAAGGCAGAGCCACGCACCUGGACCUUGGCUUCAAAUCCGUGGAUGUCAUGGAUACACAACUUCAUGGAAGAGAUGCUGCAGCAGGAAUUAGCCUUGUCCAGGGGAGACACUUGCCACUGCUUUCCUUGUCUCACAGAUGGAUCUCAGGUUUCUUGGGCUUUUCUCAUGAAGAUUUUCUUGGAGAGGAUUAUGUUAGCUGUGCUGCUGACAGAUUCCCAUGUGAGAACUGUCCACACUGGUUUGAUUUCCCUCCUUCAGCCAUCUAGGAGUUGGAUUCCUAGUCUGAGCUGGUUGGAUUUGUUGUCCUUGCGGUAAAUGAAGAGAGAGCUGCAUCUUGGCAGGUGAUGAAACUUGAGGAACAGAUGUAAUUAGUUGGGGGUUUUUUUUACGUGGUUUUCUGCCCCCUGAAGAGAAGGAGAUUGAGAGAUUUGCCUGUCAUCAGGACUCCACAGAUGGGUUCAUCUUGCAUGGUGGUUUAGGAUCUGGAAUGUCAGUUCUACUAAGGACUGGCUGAGGGUUGAAAAGGAGACUCAGGGAAGACCUUAUUUACCUGAAGACCUACAUUUACCUGAGACAAGGUUGUGAUGAGGUGGGGAGCCUUUUCUCCCAGAUAACAAGUGACAGGACAAUGGCAAAUAGCCUCGAGUCUCGGCAGAGGUUCGGGUUGGAUAUUAGGAAAAAUUUCUUCACUGAAAGAGUGGUUUAAGCGUUGGAACAGGCUGAGGGCAGUGGUGGUGUCACCAUGCCUGGAAGUGUUCAGAAAACAGCUGGAUCUGGCACUUCAUGAUAUGGUUUAGUGGGCAUGGUGGUAUUAAAUCAAAGGUUGGACUCAGUGGUCUUGGAGGUCUUCUCCAACCUCAGUGGUUCUGUGGUUCUAAUCAACUAAAAUCAGCUUUCACAGGACUUCCAGAGGCAGGAACAGAGCACACCCAGGAGUAAUAAACUGAAGGAGGGAAAUAAUAAAGAUACUGCAGUCUUCUUGAAAACAGUGCAGCAAGGCAAAAUUUUGGACUUCUGCAUGGCUGAAGGAAAAAGAGUUUGGUUCUGCCUGCACUUCAAAGCAGCUUUAUUUCACCCAUUAAUGUUCUGUGAGCCUGUGUGGAAGAUUCCCAGGCAGCUGCGUGCUCGGGGUAGAGCCCGGGGACACGGGCACAGCUCCGUCCUGCUGCUUCCUGCCUGCUCUGCUCCACACAGGCACUUUCUGGACAGAAAAGCUGCACAAUAAAUCCAGUGCUGAUGUGGCCUGGCAUGGUGACAGCUCUUCCAGUAACUGCAGGAACUGCCCGCUUGCGGAGGCCCAGCCUGCUCCGAUGGGUUGUUUCCCUUAAAACUCUGUUGUUCUACACCGGAUGGGGCACGCGGUGUCUUUGUGCCUUCUCUGCCAUGCAGGCACUUUGUGGUGCCUUCUGUGCCACUGCCCGGGGUGAUUUGCUCUUUCCAAGAGACUGUCAUGUACCUGAGUGCUUCCCAGAACAUGUCAGCGAGAGUGGGGCUGUGCAAACACUCAGGACUUGCUCGACAUCGCUCUGCAGAUGGGCUUCGGGUCUGAUGUUUGUUCUGCCAGCUGAGAUGAGGAGCUGCAGAGAGGUUAUGAAAUGAAAAAAAAAAAUCUGUUUGAAAGGGAGUAAAUUGUCUAGAACGCACUUCAGUAGCAGAUUUCUAGGAAAGAACCCUGUGUCAGACUUCUAAGAAGCAGUGCUGUCUCCAGGUGCCAAGUGCCAGGUCUGAAUAGCCCGUAAUCAAUGCAGUCCUUAACGUUAGUUUUGGAGACAAACUUUUCCCCCAGUUUGCAAAUCCCACCUCAGCCAGAGCUAGCUGACAGGUGGGCAGGUUUCCAGGCUUUCUGCGUGGCCUUUGGGAUGAAUAUUCAGCUUUUAGGCACUGAUAUGUAGCGUGUGUCACACACUGGUCCUUGUGCUGCUGCUGUUGAAAGGAAGAUUUGGUAACACCUUACAUGUUCUGCUGUCACAAGAGGGAGUUUUGCAGCAGUGCUGCCCGUGCUGGUGUGUCUGGAUGUAGUCGUGCUGUGGGCAGAGCUCAGCAGACAGACUGUGUUAAUAGGAGACAGCAGCACAAGUAGGAUGAAGGUCCUUCAUUCCUUGUUAAAGCCUUGUACAUGUUGUUCAAGCUUGACUAACAAAAUUCCUCGGAGUGACACUGCUGCAAGCAAUUCUCUUGCUGUUGGUAGCGCUGUAAUAGAAAACAGAAGUGAACAUUUGAGUGACUCAAACCAAAAUCAAGGGUAAGAAUAAGAAAAAAGCAUCAACUGUUUAACAGGAAAAAUAAAAACCCAACGUGGCUAGGUAUUCUUCUGUGGCAUUUCCAAUUUAUUGUUACAGGAAUAUCCUCUCAGCUAGACACAAGCUCC